rnacentral:rRNA from 1 species
CUGCAGUAUCCUGACUGUGCAAAGGUAGCAUAAUAAUUUGCCUUUUAAUUGAAGGAUAGAAUGAAUGGCUGGACGAAGAUAAAGCUGUCUCAUAUAUAUUUAUUAAAAGUUAAUUUUUAGGUUAAAAAGCCUAAAUUAAAUUAAAGGACGAGAAGACCCUAUUAAGCUUAAAAGUAACUUUAACUAUAACUAUACUACUAUAAAUGUAAUGUUAACGAUAAUAUUUUAGUUGGGGCGACUUGGGAGUAGAAAAACCCUCCUUUGAUUUGAAUAAAGUUUGAUUUGCGGUCCAAAGAGUUUUGAGAUAAGAACAAGUUACUAUAGGGAUAACAGCGUAAUUUUAUUUGAGAGUUCUAAUCGAAAAUAGAGUUUGCGACCUCGAUGUUGGAUUAGGAAGUAGUAAAGGUUGCAGAAGCUUUUAUGAUUAGUCUGUUCGACUAUUAAUAUCUUACAUGAUCUGAGUUCAAACCGGA